rnacentral:rRNA from 1 species
GAAGCGGCAACAGCUCAAAUUUGAAAUCUGGCGCAAGCCCGAGUUGUAAUUUGUAGAGGAUGCUUCAGGGCAGCGGCCGGUCUAAGUUCCUUGGAACAGGACGUCAUAGAGGGUGAGAAUCCCGUAUGCGACCGGUUGGCACCCGUCACGUAGCUCCUUCGACGAGUCGAGUUGUUUGGGAAUGCAGCUCUAAAUGGGAGGUAAAUUUCUUCUAAAGCUAAAUACCGGCCAGAGACCGAUAGCGCACAAGUAGAGUGAUCGAAAGAUGAAAAGCACUUUGGAAAGAGAGUUAAAAAGCACGUGAAAUUGUUGAAAGGGAAGCGCAUGCAACCAGACUUGUCGGCGGUGUUCCGCCGGUCUUCUGACCGGUCUACUCGCCGCCGGCAGGCCAGCAUCAUCUGGGCGCGCCGGACAAAGGCGCGGGGAAUGUGGCUCCUCGGAGUGUUAUAGCCCCGCGCACAAUACGGCGCCGCUCGGGUGAGGUCCGCGCUUCGGCUAGGAUGCUGGCGUAAUGGUUGUCUGCGGCCCGUCUUGAAACACGGACCAAGGAGUCUAACAUCUAUGCGAGUGUUCGGGUGUCAAACCCCUACGCGUAAUGAAAGUGAACGGAGGUGGGAAGCGCAAGCUGCAACCAUCGACCGAUCCUGAUGUCUUCGGAUGGAUUUGAGUAAGAGCAUAGCUGUUGGGACCCGAAAGAUGGUGAACUAUGCCUGAAUAGGGUGAAGCCAGAGGAAACUCUGGUGGA